AUAUGGUUGACUUUUCAAUGCCUAUUGUGUACCCCUCUGCUGCAGCCACAAAAUAACUCGCAGAGGUUCAAUUUGCUUACUGUUUCUAUUUUUCACUCACCGCUCACAAAGAUAACAAGUGGACAGACUAAAACAAAACCAAGCAAAUCAAUGUUUUCCUGCUGUGUAUUCCCCAGUGUGCAUGCAUAUUGAACAGCAGAGCGACUUUUUUUCUGCGAGGAGGUACCGGUAUUUCUUGCAACACCAGCUGGAUUGCUGCCAUGUCCCUUACUGUGGUGUGUAUUUCCAUCCCUCACACUGCGUUCUGAAUAAAUUUUAACUAACCAAACCUAACUUUACGCAACCUACCUAACGGGGGCCUCGCCCCCCUCAACCCCCCUUCCAUUUUUUAUGGAAAAACAAUAUGGCAGUGUGCUGUAUGGACACAAAAUAUACUUGUUACUGUGCUACAUUCAGGGAUUAAAAAACAAUCCAUGCUGUAAGCAUUAACUUUGCCAGAGGAGGCUACCCUCUCAUGAAUAUUAUCCUAAAAUUAUAGUGCACUAGUGUAUUACAGUGAGGAAAGUUAAGUAAUACAGUGCCACUGAAAAGCAAAAUGUGUGAAUAAACAGGAGAGAGGACCUAAGAAGCGAUACAAAGCAUUACAGGUCAAAAGAAGAAGAAAAAGCAGAGUAACAAAGCAAACUGCCUACCCAUCUAAGACCAACAAAGGCAACGAGAGCAUCCACCAGGUACAUUAAGGACCCCAGAAGCCAUGGAGGUGAAGAAAGAAAAGCUCUGAGCGCUCUCGUCUUGUGGCGAACAAAGGGAACCCACUGCUGUCUUCAACUUGUACAAACAGGAUGCUCGUCACCACUCAUAACCAAGGCAUUACUGGUGAGAGAAAUCCAUCGUCAGCACACUGUCAGCACAUCAUCACUAGACUGUCAGCACAUCAUCACCACACUGUCAGCACGUCACCACCAGACUGUCGGCACAUCAUCACCACACUGUCAGCACGUCACCACCAGACUGUCGGCACAUCAUCACCACACUGUCAGCACAUCACUACCAGACUGUCGGCACAUCACCAGCACACUGUCAGCACGUCACCACCAGACUGUCAUCACGUCGUCACCCUCGUAAACAUUCUGCCUGUCAGGGUUAAGGUCAAGACAGGGUGGGCUGACUAUUGUUGCUGCCCUGCUGACCUCCCCUCAGGCCUGGUGAGGGAGCUGAGACAGGUCCACACCCGGCCUCAACCAGGCGUGGCUUGCUACGGAGAGAUGUACUGUACUCAUGCUCUGAUAUGGGGUAAUCAGGAGAACCACCACCACCUCCCUGCUGGCAUCUCCAGCCAUAAAGAAAAGGGAAAGUUUGAGUGUGAGAAGAUUUGAGACUGAGAGCAAGUUCACAAGACACAGCCUUGCACUCACUGG